GAGCUGUUGCUGCCGUCCUAUGCCAGAGCCACAGCAACACCAGAUCUGAGCCAAGUCUGCAACCGAUGCCACAGCUCACAGCAAUGCCAGAUCCUUAACCCAGUGAGUGAGGCCAGGGAUCGAACCCACAACUUCAUGGUUCCUAGUCAGAUUUGUUUAUGCUGCGCCACAAUGGGAACUCCUGUUUUUUUGUUUUUGUUUUUGUUUUUGACCAUGCCAGUGGCAUGUAGUUCUUGGGCCAGGGAUCCAACAGCUGUGACUCCAGCCACUGUGGUGACAAUGUUGCAGAAACUAUGGCAGCAGAAAGAGACAGACGGCACUCAGAGACGUGGAAUAGCCAGGUUUAUUCAGCACCAGUGUGGGCUCAGAGGCGCCUCCAGAGUCUGAGCACCAGGUCUUUGUUCUGGGUGGCUUUUAUACAACACAGACUUCCAGGUCUUAAGGUUUUCCCACACAAGCAGUCCUGGCCCUCCCCCUUCCCCGAGCAGACGGAGUUCCUGCCUAAGAAGCUGAACAAACAAGAUUCCAAAAGCAAAACUGAUAAGCAAUGCAUGGUGCACGGUUAGCAGGGCUGCUAGCAAGGACAUAAGGUACAUAGUUGCUGCACGAUUACAAGAAGAGUGGUAUGUGGCCAGCAAAGCCUGCUGACAGUCAUAUAGCUGCCUCUUCAGCUGGAAGGUUGUUUCUCUAGUUAAAACUCUGAUUUCAGCAAUGCCAGAUCCUUAAUCUGCUGUACCACAAGGGAACUCCAUGCCUUCUUCUUAGAUUAUGAUUAUAAUAGCUGUUUUUUUCAAUUGUAGUAAAAACCAAAUGUCAUAAAAUUUACCAUCUUAAUCAUUUUAAAAUGUAUAGCUUAGUAGUGUUAACUAUAUUCAUAUUGUGCAGCAGAUCUUUAGAACUUCGUCAUAUUGCAAAACUAAAACUCUUUACCCAUUGAACAAUAGCUUCCAUUUCUUCUUUCCCCUAGUCCUUGGCAAAUGCAAUUCAACUUUCUGUUUCUAUGCCUUUGAUUACUUUAGAUACUUCACAUAAGUGGAAUCAUACUGUAUUUGUCUUUUUGUGACUGGCUUACUUCACUUGCCAUAAUGCCUUCAAGAUUUAUUUAUGUUGUAGAAUGUGAUAGGACUUCCUCCUUUUAUAAGGCUGAAUAAUAUUCCAUUGUAUGUAUAUACCACGUUUUGUAUAUUCAGUCAUCCUUUGAUGGACAUUUGGGUUGUCUCUACCUCUUAACUGUUAUGAAUAAUGCUUAGGGCACAUGGGUAUGCAAAUAGCUCUUUGAGACCUUGCUUUCAGUUGUUUUGGAUAUAUAUACCCCUAAGUGGAGUUGCUAAAUCAUAUGGUAACUCCAUUUUUCUUUUUUUUUUCUUUUUCUUUUUUUAAGGUCGCACCCGCAGCAUAUGGAGGUUCCAGGGUCUAAUCGGAGCUACAGCUGUCAGCCUAACCCACAGCCACAGCAACGCAGGAUCCGAGCCAUGUCUGCAACCUACAGCACAGCUCACAGCAACGCUGGAGAUUUAACCCACUGAGUGAGUCCAGGGAUCAAACCUGCAACCUCAUGGUUCGUAGUCAUAUUUGUUUCCACUGUGCCAUGAUGGGAACUCCUUGUAACUCUAUUUUUAACUUUUUGAGGAAACUCCAUAUUGCUUUCCAUAGUGUACCAUUUAACAUUCCCACCAACAGUACAUUAGGUUUCCAGUUUCUCCACACCCUCACAACACUUGCUAUUUUCUGGGUCUUUUUGAUAGUGGUCGUCCAGGUGAAUGUGAAGUGAUGAAGUGAAGCAGUUUCUAUAAUGAUUUAUGAUAUUGAGCAUAUUUUCAUAUGCUUGUUGGCUAUUUCUAUACUUCUUUGUAUAUUCAAUGCUUUUGUUAUUUUUUUUUUUUUUUAAGGGCCGUAUGUAUGGCAUAUGGAAGUUCCCAGGCUAGGGGUCGAAUCCAAGCUAUAGUUGCUGGCCUAUGCCACAGCCUCGGCAACUGGGGAUCCGAGCCAAGUCCAUGACCUAUAACACAGCUCAUAGCAACACCGGAUCUUCAACCCAUGGAACGAGACCAGGGAUCGAACCUGCAUCCUCAUGGAUCUUAGUUGAGUUCGUUAACCACUGAGCCAUGAAGGGAAUGCCCGCUUUUGUUAAUUUUUAAAUUGGGCUAUUUGUUUUUGUUGUUGCUCUUGUACAAUAUCUGUUAUAAAAAUCUUUGUCUCUUACAAGAUACAAGAAUAAUAGACAAAAGUCAAUCACUUUCCUAUAUACCAGCAAUGAACAAAUGGGAUUUGAAAUUAAAAACACAAUACUAUUAAUGUUAGCAUUCCCUAAAAUGAAAUACUUAGGUAUAAAUUUAACAAAAUAUAUACAAGAUCUAUAGGAGGAAAAUUAUAAAACUCUGAUGAAUGAAAUCAAAUAAUUAAAUAAAACAGAAAGCUAUUCCAUGUUCAUGGAUAGGAAUACUCAAUACUCUUUUAAUGUCAGUUCUUCCCAAUAUAUCUAUAGAUUCAACAAAAUUCAAAAUCCCCACAAGUUACUUUAUGGAUAUUGACAAACUAAAUCUAAAGUUUAUUUUUUUUUUUUUUUUUUUUUUUUUUCUUUUAAUGGCUUCACCUGCAGCUGAUUGAAGUUCACAAGCCAGGGAUGGAAUCCUAGCUGCAACUGUGACCUACUAUGCAGCUGCAGCAAUGCUGGCUCUUUAAGCCACUGUUCUGGGUUGGGAAUCAAACUGACAGCCUUAGCAGAUACUCUGGCUGCUGCAGAGACAAUGCCGGGUCCUUAACCUGCUGUGCUACAUCAGGAACUCCAGUUGCUUGUUUGUUUAAAUCACUUUGGUUUUGGGGAGAAUGCACUACAGGGAUCCCAGCUGGAGACAGGCACAAUGAUUUGGAGAUUACUGGAGAAAUUCUGAUGAGAAAGGGUGACUGCACCAUUGGUGGCAAUGGGAAUGGAGAAGAGUAGACAGAUUUGAGAAUUAGUAGGUAAAUUAAUUAGUAGGUAAGUGCAUAUUGGUGCCUACAGGGAAUGAGGAAGGUUGGGCCCCCCUCAUAUUUAUGUUUGGACCAAUGGUGGUGCCUCUGACAGGAAAAAGAGCAGGCUUAUGGGUGAACAGAAGGUCUGACCUGAAUUUAUGGGUGUGAGGUGACCGAGUGGGGAUGUUCGGAAGACUUUUGGCUAUGUUGGUCUGAAGAUUGGAAGAGAGGUUUGGCAUUGGAAGCCAUCUGUGUCCAUAUGGUAAGAUGGCAUAGGUGGCACUCCUUUUUUCCUCAGGAUCUUUGUUCCGUAUCUGCAGUGGAUGUACCAUAUGCUGCACGUUGGGGAUACAACGGUGAACAAGAAGACUGGGUUUCUGGAGUUCCUGUCAUGGUGCAGCAGAAAGGAAUCCGACUAGGAACCAUGAGGUUUUGGGUUUGAUCCCUGGCCUUGCUAAGUGGGUUAAGGAUCCGGUGUUGCCCGUGAGCUGUGGUGUAGGUCGCAGACACAGCUUAGAUCUGGUGUUGCUGUGGCUGUGGUGUAGACUGGCGAAACAGCUCCAAUUCGACCCCUAGCCUGGGAACCUCCACCAGCGGCCCUAAAAAAAAAAAAAAAAAAGACUGAAUUUCUGCUCUCAAGUGUCUUAAUCUAUAAAAUUAAAAUGAUCUAUAAAAUCAAAAUAAUAGUGAUAUUAAGAGAGAUGAGUUGGAAGUUCCUGUUGUGGCUCAGCAGCAAGACGUCCGACUAGUAUCCAGGAGGAUCCAUGAGGACGCGGAUUCCAUCCAUCCCUGGCCUCACUCAGUGUAUUUCCGAUCCUGCGUUGCUUGAGCUGUGGUGUAGGUCGCAGACACGGCUUGGAUCCUGCGAUGCUGUGGCUGUGGUGUAGGCC
rnacentral:lncRNA from 1 species